GUAGCUACAAUGGCCGGUACAAAGAGAAGCGAGGCUGUGAAGCGGAGCAAAUCUCAAAAACCGGUCCCAGUUCGGAUUGUAGGCUGCAACUCGCCUACAUGAAGUCGGAGUUGCUAGUAAUCGCGGAUCAGAAUGCCGCGGUGAAUGCGUUCCCGGGUCUUGUACACACCGCCCGUCACACCAUGGAAGUUGGGGGCGCCCGAAGUUGCCUAAGAAAUAAGGUACCUAAGGCGAAACCAAUGACUGGGGUGAAGUCGUAACAAGGUAAC
rnacentral:rRNA from 1 species